AUUGAACGCUGGCGGCAGGCCUAACACAUGCAAGUCGAGCGAGCGGCGGACAGGUGUGUAAUGUAUGUGGACUCCCCGACUUAGGGGGGUAACUACUGUAAGCGGUGGCUAAUACCGCCUACUGUCGGCUAUACCCUAUGGGAUUAGCUAGUGGGUAAGGUAAUGGCUUACCUAGGCGACGAUCCCUAGCUGGUCUGAGAGGAUGAUCAGCCACACUGGGACUGAGACACGGUCCAGACUCCUACGGAGGCAGCAGUGGGGAAUAUUGCACAAUGGGCGCAAGCCUGAUGCAGCCAUGCCGCGUGUAUGAAGAAGGCCCUAGGGUUGUAAAGUACUUUCAGUCGGGAGGCGUUACCGGCAGAAGAAGCACCGGCUAACUCCGUGCCAGCAGCCGCGGUAAUAC
rnacentral:rRNA from 1 species